GAGUUUGAUCCUGGCUCAGAACGAACGCUGGCGGCAGGCCUAACACAUGCAAGUCGAACGAGCUGAGACCUUCGGGUCUCGAUGCUAGUGGCGCACGGGUGAGUAACGCGUGGGAACGUACCCUUUAGUACGGAAUAACGCAGGGAAACUUGCGCUAAUACCGUAUACGCCCUCCGGGGGAAAGAUUUAUCGCUAAAGGAUCGGCCCGCGUCUGAUUAGGUAGUUGGUGAGGUAACGGCUCACCAAGCCGACGAUCAGUAGCUGGUCUGAGAGGAUGAUCAGCCACACUGGGACUGAGACACGGCCCAGACUCCUACGGGAGGCAGCAGUGGGGAAUAUUGGACAAUGGGCGAAAGCCUGAUCCAGCCAUGCCGCGUGAGUGAAGAAGGCCUUCGGUUG
rnacentral:rRNA from 1 species